UCGGGAAUUUUGGGCAAUGGGGGAAACCCUGACCCAGCAACGCCGCGUGAAGGAUGAAGUAUUUCGGUAUGUAAACUUCGAAAGAAUAGGAAGAAUAAAUGACGGUACUAUUUAUAAGGUCCGGCUAACUACGUGCCAGCAGCCGCGGUAAUACGUAGGGACCAAGCGUUGUUCGGAUUUACUGGGCGUAAAGGGCGCGUAGGCGGCAUGACAAGUCACUUGUGAAAUCUCUGGGCUUAACCCAGAACGGCCAAGUGAUACUGUCGCGCUAGAGUGCAGAAGGGGCAAUCGGAAUUCUUGGUGUAGCGGUGAAAUGCGUAGAUAUCUGGAGGAACACCGGUGGCGAAGGCGGCAUCCUGGACCGGUAUUGACGCUGAGUGAGCGAAAGCCAGGGGAGCAAACGGGAUUAGAUACCCCAGUAGUCCCUGAGCGGGCUGGCAAGGCGCAU
rnacentral:rRNA from 1 species